AGCACCGACAGCUGGCCCUGUGAGCCGGCCACUGGGAAAGCAGGGCCUCCAGGCCCAGUCAAGCCUUCUGAGGACAGCGAUCUCAUGAGAGACACCCCCCUAGACCAGAGCACCCAGCUAAGCCACUUCCAAAUUCCUGGCCCACAGAAAACACAAGCUGCCAAGGGAGCAGCUGGUAGUCUCAAGUCCCAUUUUACAGAUGGGCAAAUGGAGGAUCAGAGAGGGAGAAUGACUUACUGAGUCUUGGCUGGUCCAACUCCAAAUCCCCUGCAGAGGGAUCUGAGCUUCCUGGAGGCCAAGAAGACAGGCUCGGUGCCAGGCGCCUCCUGCCAACCCCAGGGCACACCAAUUUUGGUCUCAAGGAAACCUCCCACUUGGAAGAAGUACCUGGAGUCGGCAGUGAGCUGAGGAUUUCCUUCCACUGCUGACUGAUGCAGUUCUAUCAGUCAUGGAAAUUGGCACAGGGUACAGCUGUUCGCAGCAGAACCACCGUUGGCAACAACGGCCUCAGCACAGAUAAGGGGUCCUUCAGAUCAUCGUAAUUAUUCCUCAGCAGUUCUCAGUCCUGGCUGCAUGUUAGAAUGAGGUGGGGAGCAGGUUAAAAUGCAGAUUCUCGCACCUGACACCAGACCAAAGGAAUCAAGUUUCAGGAAGUGGGUCCCCGGGAACAGCAUUUAAAAAACGCUUCCAAGGUGAGUCUGAUGCCUAGGCAGGGAUGAACCAUAUUCUAGAGAUUAUAAAACAGGGAAGGGGCUUCGCUGGUUUAGGAGGGUCAGGGAAUACUUCUCCGAGGGCGGGACCAAGCUUGAGCAAACUGACUGGGUAAGAAAGGGGAGGAAGAAGGUUCCCAGCAGAGGGGACAGUGGGCACCAACUCCUCAAGGCAGGAAGACACUCAACAGCAAGUUAAGGGAACGGAAGUGUCCCGGGUGGGCUGGAGCAAGGGCGAGCUGCCUCCUUGGGUUCUUCUUUGGUGGGGUUCAGGGGGGAGAUUUGAGACCAGGACCUUCCUGAGGGCGAAAUCUGUGCAAAGAGGCUCUUUCUUCCCAGAGAAAAGGGAGCAGCAAGGCCAGGGGAGGGAAAUAAAUUAAAAUCAACACGUGGGGACUUCCCUGGUG